rnacentral:lncRNA from 1 species
GGUUGGGGGGUUGCUUUUUUUUUUUACUUUAGUUUUAUUUUUUUGUUGUGAACUUAUGAAUACUAUUAAUGGUUUGAUGACCUUACUUUGGUGCACUUUGCUUAUCCAUGUCUUACUUAGAUAUAAUUAUCGUAUUUUAAUUAAUAAUACAAACACUAGGCAAAUAAUUGAUGGUUGAUUUUCAUAAUUAUGCUCUAACUUAAGCAUGUUGGAUUGAGGAUGGUGUUAAGGGAG